AAUCAACGCUGGCGGCGUGCCUCAGACAUGCAAGUCGAACGAUUAAAGCUCCCUUCGGGGAGUGUAUAGAGUGGCGCACGGGUGAGUAACACGUAAGUAAUCUACCCUCGAGUGGGGAAUAACGUCCGGAAACGGACGCUAAUACCGCAUAAUGCAGCGGCACCGCAAGGUGACAGUUGUUAAAGAUUUAUCGCUUGAGGAGGAGCUUGCGGCAGAUUAGCUAGUUGGAAGGUAAUGGCUUACCAAGGCUACGAUCUGUAACCGGUCUAAGAGGACGGUCGGUCACACUGACACUGAAUAACGGGUCAGACUCCUACGGGAGGCAGCAGUCGGGAAUUUUUGGGCAAUGGGCGAAAGCCUGACCCAGCAACGCCGCGUGAAGGAUGAAGUAUUUCGGUAU
rnacentral:rRNA from 1 species